rnacentral:lncRNA from 1 species
AUGAACACAGCUCUAGAUAAGAAGAGGAUCCAGCUGACUCGUCGCAGCCAGAGGCCCACAGCACCACCUCCGCCCCCACCACUGCCUGGGAAGAAAGUAGUCCCUCCUGCAGCCAUGCCAGUCAAGCAAGCCUCACCAGUCUCACCCAACUCCAAGCUGCCAGUACCCACCAAGCCUGCCCUGCCAGAGGAGGAACCCAAGAGUCCUCAGACUGAUGUGCCUGUAUCCCCUCCCAUCUCUCCCUCUGUCCCUGUCUCUCCUUCCUCUCCUACCAAGCCUAACAUCUCCAUCUAUCCUACCUCCCCUACCAGGCCCAACAACUCUCCCUCUCCUUCCUCACCUACCAAACCUGUUAUCUCUCUCUCUCCUUCCUCACCUACUAAACCUGUCAUCUCUCCUUCUCCGCCCUCUCCCUCUUCACCUACCAAACUUCAAAUGUUCCCUGCUCUUUCCUCUCCAACCAAGCUCCAUGCCUGUGCCUUCCCUCCUGCCUCGUAUAAGCCUAUUACUUGCCCCUCCAACUCAUCACCUUCCAAACGCAAAGCCUCCCCCUCUCCUCCUGCCCCUCUCUCUCCCUCCUCUCCUCCCUCUCUUUUUACCUGCCCCUCUCCCUCUCCCAGCCCUCCCUCACCCCUGACCUGCUCCUCUCCCUCCUCUCCCACCCCUCCAUCACCCCUGGUGGGCCUUGACGUUGAAGCUGCUGCUACUGCCAGAGAGCUGUGAGAAAGAAUGAUGGAUGAGAAGACUGGCUGCUGGACCAUGGUCUAAUUUGUACCUUUCCAGCCCCCUUACCUCCACGCGCCGUAUCCCCAGACCUAUGAUUCGCAUGUAGGGGGCUAGAUACAGAUAGAACCUCCAUCCCCAGUAACAGUAUAACAGCUGAUGUCCACUGCUGUAUCAUUCCUAGGCUCCCAAGCAGCAAAUGGCAAAAAAAACAAGCAAAAUGGCUCCUACAACCUACAGUACAAUCUCUGUAGAGAACCCAUCAUAUCCACGCUCCAAGAGGGGAGUUGGGGUGUUUUGUAUAUUUUGGUUGAUUUGUAUAUACGGUAUGUGUGUAUUUAUAUAUGGAGAAAAUAGAGUGAGGCCUGCCUAGUUAGUGUGUGUGGUUUCAGAUGGGGUUUUCUGGAAUGACUUCUGAUCAUGUUUUAUUUAUUGUCUGUGGUUGGUUGGUAGACACACACAUGAUGAUUAUGGGUAGAAGUGUAUUAUUUGGCGUGCUUGCCGUCUGUUGUAAGAAACUACUACUGUAGAUGUGUAUAGUAUUGUAUGACAGACACGAGGCAUCCGAAUGAAAGUUGAAGGUUUGAGUUUGUUUUCUUCUCUUCUCUGUAAAGCCUGUUUAUCAUUGGUCUGCUAUGGAGCCUGUAGUGUUUAACUGCUGAGCACCAAAAGAGAAACGCAACAGAGUAGAAGAUGAACGUGUCAAUGAGGAGAGGUGUUCCUGUCAAAAUAGCUGCCAGAUCAGGGGUGUGUUCAGGGCGGCAGGUAGCCUAGCGUUUAAGAGCGUUUGGCCAGUAACCGAAAGGGCACUGGUUCGAAUCCCCCAGCCAACUAGGUGACAAAUCUGCCAAUGUGCUCUUGAGCAAGUCACUUAACCCUAAUUAAUCCUCUAAGUCGCUCUGGAUAGGAGCGUCUGCUAGAUGACUAAAAUGUAAAUGUUCAUCAGAAAGGGACUUCCUGGACAUGUCCUGUAAGAAACGCUCAUUUUCACCCUCCGUUGCAAAACGUUUUUCAUUGUGUGCCCUAAUGAACCUGACCCAGUAGUUAGAUUCCUUUUCUGAAACCAGCUGACAGGAAACACUGGGAGCUCUAUCCCCUCAUAUACUCAUUUAUCAGUCCAGAUUUACCGGAUAAUAAUGUGAGGCUGUUCCACUUUGCUGUUGUGUUUGUCUGUAAUGGUAAUGCACUUGUUUUAAAGUCCAUGUUUAAGUCCCAAAUCGCACCCUAUUCCCUAUAUAGUGCACUACUUUUGAGCAGGGCCCAUAGGGUAUUGGUUAAAAGUAGUGCACUAUGUAGGGGUAUAGGGUACCAUUUGGGAUGCAACCCCAUAUCUCCUUACCUAGCCUACUGCAGUUGGUUAGGGUUUAACCCUUCGGAUACUGAUAAUGGCUCCGAUGCACAUCACUACUACAAGGGGCUUUAGUUGCAUGCCAUGUUCCUCCCUCUGCCUCCCCACAAAACAGGUCUCUCUCUUGCGCACGCACACACACACACGUCAAGCUGGUACUAUUGUACGUAUAGUAGCUGUUCUGUAAUGUUUAGUCAAACUACACUGUCAUCGUCAUAAUGCUUUUUUUAUUGCAGUUUUAGUCUGGAUAAACACUGUCAGCUUUGGCCAGCACUUUUAGUUUGUACAGACAUUUAGCCACUGUGACUCCUUUAUCAUUAUGUAUUAGGAGCACAUUGGAAAACUUCAAACGCAAUAAAAAGUAUUCAAAUCAGUUUUUUAAAUGUUUUUAUUUCUUUGGCACCAUGUUGAUAAAGAUGUGUAGAAAUCAG